rnacentral:rRNA from 1 species
GUAGGGAAUAUUGGACAAUGGGGGCAACCCUGAUCCAGCGACGCCGCGUGAGUGAUGAAGGCCUUCGGGUCGUAAAGCUCUGUUGCAGGGGAAGAACACAAUGACGGUACCCUGCUAGAAAGGAUCGGCUAACUUCGUGCCAGCAGCCGCGGUAAGACGAGGGAUCCUAGCGUUGUUCGGAAUUAUUGGGCGUAAAGCGGGUGCAGGUGGCUUGGUAAGUCAGAUGUGAAAGCCUGGGGCUUAACCCCAGAAGUGCAUUUGAUACUGCUGAGCUUGAGUGCUGGAGAGGCUAUUAGAAUUCCUGGUGUAGUGGUGAAAUACGUAGAUAUCAGGAGGAAUACCGGAGGCGAAGUCGGAUAGCUGGCCAGACACUGACACUCAGACCCGAAAGCGUGGGGAUCAAACAGGAUUAGAAACCCGGGUAGUCC